rnacentral:rRNA from 1 species
UACGAGGGGUGCAAGCGUUGCUCGGAAUUAUUGGGCGUAAAGGGUAGGUAGGUGGUCUCAUUUGUCAGGGGUGAAAGCCUUGGGCUUAACUCAAGAAGUGCCCCUGAAACGGUGAGACUAGAGUGCUGGAGAGGGUCGUGGAAUUCCCGGUGUAGCGGUGAAAUGCGUAGAGAUCGGGAGGAACACCAGAGGCGAAGGCGGCGACCUGGACAGCUACUGACACUCAACUACGAAAGCGUGGGGAGCAAACAGG